rnacentral:rRNA from 1 species
CCUACGGGUGGCAGCAGUGAGGCAUAUUGGUCAAUGGGCGCGAGCCUGAACCAGCCAAGUCGCGUGAGGGAAGACGGUCCUAUGGAUUGUAAACCUCUUUUGUCGGGGAGCAAAAGACGCCACGCGUGGCGUUCCGAGAGUACCCGAAGAAAAAGCAUCGGCUAACUCCGUGCCAGCAGCCGCGGUAAUACGGAGGAUGCGAGCGUUAUCCGGAUUUAUUGGGUUUAAAGGGUGCGCAGGCGGACGAUCAAGUCAGCGGUAAAAUUGAGAGGCUCAACCUCUUCGAGCCGUUGAAACUGGUUUUCUUGAGUGAGCGAGAAGUAUGCGGAAUGCGUGGUGUAGCGGUGAAAUGCAUAGAUAUAUGGAAGAACACCAGUGGCGAAGGCGGCCGCCUGGCCUGUUGCUGACGCUGAGGCACGAAAGCGUGGGGAGCAAAUAGGAUUAGAUACCCCAGUAGUC